rnacentral:rRNA from 1 species
GACGAACCGUCCUAACGUUGUUCGGAAUCACUGGGCUUAAAGGGCGCGUAGGCGGGUCAUCAAGUCGGGGGUGAAAUACUUCGGCUCAACCGGAGAACAGCUUUCGAUACUGGUGGCCUAGAGGGAGGUAGGGGUCUGUGGAACUUCCGGUGGAGCGGUGAAAUGCGUUGAUAUCGGAAGGAACGCCGGUGGCGAAAGCGACGGACUGGACCUCUUCUGACGCUGAGGCGCGAAAGCUAGGGGAGCAAACGGG